GGGAGAUCCAUUGUUCUUGGAGCCAUUCUGGAAGCAGCAUGCAGAGAGCAGUGCAGUAGUGGUGGCGGGGUGGCACAGGAUGAGCUACUCCUUCAGUGACCAGACCUUCUUGUCCCAAGAACUUGAGUCUCUCCUCAGGAAGCUGCACUCCCAGGUUGGGAAUGCCAUCACAGACGACAAAUACAUUUUGUUUGGUGCUGGCUCUACCCAACUCCUCAAUGCUGCUGUCCAUGCUCUCUCUCAUCUCAACUCUUCAUUUCCUGCUUCAGCUGUUGCCUCAAUCCCCUAUUAUGCGGUCAGCAUUUUUCCUUUCGUGAGCGUGUAAUGGACCCUGUGUUUUGUCCUCUCCAUCCUUACGCUCAAUUUUGACGUAAUUUCACCAUUUGGGUAUCGGUGUUUUGCUUCUUCACAGCUUUAUCAAAUGCAAACAGAGUUCUUCGACUCAGCAGACUGCAGCUUUCAGGGAGACCCGGCGCAUUGGAAGAACGCAACCAACACCACUGGAGACAUCAUCGAGUUCGUGACUGCACCGAACAAUCCCAAUGGACAGUUGAAUGAGGCCAUUCUCCAUGGCCCUAAUGUUAAAACUAUUCACGACCGCGCUUAUUACUGGCCACAUUUCACCGGAAUUCCUUCCCCAGCAGAUGAGGACCUCACUAUCUUCACUAUCUCUAAGCUCACUGGUCAUGCCGGUAGCAGAUUCGGGUAAAUAUGCCAAAACCCUUAAUUUUUUCCCCAGAUUCUGAUGUUUCCUGCUAUAUAUUCACGGUUCAAAUUGUACUUUGAUGUUGCUGAUUCAGCUGACUGUAUCAUUGCUUUCAGUAAAGUCUUCUAGCUUGCCCAGUGGAGAUCAAUUCUUUCAUUGUUUACAUUGGCUAUAACAGAUGGGCAUUCAUAAGGAAUGAAGAGGUGUACCAAAGGAUGAACACAUUCCUGCAAUUGAACACGAUGGGCGUCUCAAGGGACACUCAGUUAAGAGCUAUGAAGCUUCUGAAAGUAAUCAUCGAAGAUGGAGGGAGGGAAAUAUUCAAGUUUGGAUACAAAACCAUGACCAAACGUUGGGACAGACUGAGGAAGACACUGUCUAUGUCGAACAGAUUCUCUCUCCAGAAAAUAGCACCUGAAAACUGCACCUAUUUCCAGAAAGUUAGGGAACCAACUCCAGGUGAGAACUUGCCACAACCCUAUAACUUAUUUACAACGGGAAGAGCAAAUGUGAUAAGAUGACAGAUCGAUAUAAUUGUACAAUGAUUCGUCAGUAGCAAUCUUUUCAAAAUGUGGACCGAGUUUCUCUAUCGACAACAUGUGUCACACAGCUUUUGUCUGAAAAAUAGCCCAGUAAUGCCCUUUGCAAUCUUAUAGACAUAUAUUUAGAAGAGGAUCUCUCUUAUGUUACGCAUCAGCGAAACUGUAGCCAAAUUGCAAGGGGUGUCGAUGUGAGUUCUCUCUUUCCCGUUUUGGCUGUAUUCCUUUUCACAAAUUAACUGGAGCAUUUAUGGCAGCUUAUGCAUGGGUGAAAUGUGAGAGAGAGGAAGACAGGAACUGCAUUGAGAUCCUAAAUGCAGCCAAAAUCCUCGGUAGAGGAGGGAGCAUCUUCCAUGAUGACGAUAGAUACGCAAGGCUGAGCCUCAUCAGGAGCAACGACGAUUUUGACUUGCUGAUAAGCCGUUUAGAGAGCCUAGUCUCCGGGGAAGAUGGAGCCAAAAUAAUGUGAUUAUGAAGAAAGAAGAACGGUCAAUCUCACGUUGAUCUAUGAUUCUGGACAAAGUGAUCAAAUUAUAGGUAUAUAUCGUGUGAACAAGAGUGAGGGUCAUGACUAUUGACCUAUUUAAGAAAGAGUAAUGUGAUAGGUCUUAGUUUGUAAGAUGGAAACAAGGCCAUGUGACUGUGAAGAAAGAAUAACAGUCAAUCUCGCGUUGAUUUAUGAUUCUAGAUAAAGUGAUCAAAUCAUAGGUACAUAUCGUGUGAAUUAGAGUGAAGGUCAUGACUAUUUACCUCUUUAAGAAAGAGCAAUGUGAUAAGUCUUAGUAUGUAAGAUGGAACCAAAACCAGAAGAUUAUGAAGAAGGAACAACAGUCAAUCUCGCAUUGAUUUAUGAUUGUGGACGAAGCUAUUAAAUAAUAGGUGUAUUUUUUGUGAACUAGUGAGGGUCAUGACUAUUGACCUCUUUAAGAAAGAGCAAUGUGAUAGGUCUUAGUUUGUAAGAUGGAGACAAGACCAUAUGAUUGUGAAGAAAGAAGAACAAUCAAUCUCACGUUGAUAUGUGAUUCUAGACAAGUGAUUAAAUCAUACGUAUAUAUCAUGUGAAUUAAAGUGAGGGUCAUGACUAUUGACCUCUUCAAGAAAGAGUAAUAUGAUAGGUCUUAGUUUGUAAGAUGGAGACAAGACCAUGUGAUUGUGAAAAAAGAAGAACAAUCAAUCUCGAGUUGAUCUAUGAUUCUAGAUAAAGUGAAUAAAUCAUAGGUAUAUAUCAUUUGAAUUGGAGUGAGGGCCAUUACUAUUGACCUCUUUAAGAAAAAGUAAUGUGAUAGGUCUUAGUAUGUAAGAUGGAACCAAAAUAUUGUGAUGGUGAAGAAAAAAAAUAGUCAAUCUCAUGUUGAUUUGUGAUUGUUGACGAAUUUAUUAAAUCAUAAGUAUAUUUAUUGUGAACUAGAGUGACGAUUAUGACAAUUGACCUCUUUAAGAAAGAGUAAUGUGGUAGGUCUUAGUAUGAAAAGAAAUCACGUGAUCGUGAACAAACAAAAAAACAGUCAAUGUGGUUCCGGACAAAGGGAUUUAAUCAUAGGCAUGUUUCUUGUGGACUAGUAUCACGGUCCGUGAAUCCUUCCGUACUCAUGACACUUGUGAGCGAUGCUUAGGGUUAUUGAGUGAAGAGUGAGGAUGUAGAGGGGACGAACACAACUGAUCCGUGGGAAUGACGUCAGAAUGGUUGGUGCUAAGAGUUCUAGAAUAAAAAGAUUAUAUCACUUAAGAGGUCUGAAGGCGAGGUUGGCCUCCCAUGCACAAACUAGUCGGGAGCUGAUGCCGCUCUCCUGACGAGACCAUAACAGACCAAAAUCAGUUGUUGAGCCUAAAGAGAUCUGUUAUCUCACUCAAUGGACUAGACACCCGAGUUAAGCUAGGCAUGGUAGAAUCUUGUACGAAGAAGCAUUCACCAUAUUGUUUGCUGGAACAACCAAGAAGGAAGGUUGGCCUGGCGAAUUCCGCUCGCCAAGCACCACAUGGGUCGUUUCGCGGCCAAGGGAACUGUCGGCCCGUGACAAAUUGUAUCAAAGCAAGAAUCCCUCUAGUAAAUGGGUGAGUCGAAUAAUCGAACUUCUCGCUUUAGUGCGGGUCGAAUUGAUAAGUACUAGUGGUACCAAUCCUAGUGGGUGGAAAGUGAAUCGCUAGGGCAAAAGAUGCUCAAACGAAGCGUAGCUCUCUGCUCUUAGGAUGGCAAUGGAUGCUAGGACAAGUCGGUUCCUCGCCAAACUGAUAUGGAGUUGGAGAAGAACCAAAUCUUCACUGAAUAGGGAUAACUUUCCUAGAUCGAUCGGUGAAUUCGAAGAAGACGUCUAUUGCCACAUUUUCAACAAGGAAAUAACCUCCAUUUGGUUGGCUAAGAUCAAAGAUGCUUAGUAGGCAAAAAUGGUACUGCCAAAAUAUGCGGUUGGCCAAAAAUGUCACACUUGCCAAAGAAAGCGCAGGUAACCAAGAAGGGCCGAGCAGCUGAGAUCAAAAGAGGCUACCAAUGAAGCAAAACCUGUUUUGUUGGACGAGCAUGACCAUUCGAUGUAAAAUCCCAAAAGUGCUGCAUCAAUUGUUAAGGGAUGCAAGGAAGCGACAAAAUAGAUCGCAACGAGGGCAUUGUAAAUUUGAGUGGGGGAGAAUGUCACAGUCCAUGAAUCCUCCCGUACUCGUGACACUUAUAAGCGGUGCAUGGGGUUAUCAAGUAAAGAGUGGGACAAAUACAACUAGUCCGUGGGAGUAGUGUCAAAACGGUUGGUGCCAGGAGUUUUAGGAUAGAAAGAUUAUAUCACUUAGGAGCUCUAAAGUGAAGUUGGCCUCCCAUACACAAACUGGUCAUGAGCUAAUGCCGCUCUCCUGACAAGGCCAUGGUAGACCGAAACCAAUUAUUGAGCCUAAAGAGAUCCGCUAUCUCACUUGAUGGACUAGAUGCCGGAGCGAAGCUAGGUGUGGUAGGAUUUCGUACAAAAGAGCAUUCACCGUUGUUCGCUGGAAUAACCAAGAAGGAAGGCUAGCUUGGCAAAUUCCGCUCAUCAGGCGCCGCACGAGUCAUUUUGUGGCCAAGGGAAUUGUCAGCUUGUGACACUAGAGUGAGGGUCAUGACUACCGACCUCUUUAAGAAAUAGUAAUGUGACAGGUCUUAGUUUGCAAGAUAGAGCUAAAACCAUGUGAUUGUGAAAAAAGAAAAAUAAUCAAUCUCACAUUAAUCUGUGAUUCUGGACAAAAUGAUUAAAUCAUAGGGAUGUUUCUUGUGAACUAGAGUGGGGGUCAUGACUAUUGACCUCUUUAAGAAAAAGUAAUGUGAUAGGUCUUAGUUUGUAAGAUAAUACCAAAACCAUGUAAUUGUUAGGCGAGAAAAAAAAAAAAAAGGCAAUCAUCUCCUGUUGAUUUGUGAUUAUGGACAAAAGUAAUUAAAUCAUAUGUAUAUUUCCUGUGAACUAGAGUGACCAUUGACCUCUUUAAAAAAGAGUAAUGUGAUAGGUCUUAGUUUGUAAGAUGGAGACAAAACCAUGUGAUUGUGAAGGGAAAAAGAAAAAAAAGAGUCAAUUUCGCGUUGAUUUGUGAUUGUGAACAAAGUGAUUAAAUCAUAAAUAUAUUUUUUGUGAACUAGAGUAAGGGUCAUGACUAUUGACCUCUUUAAGAAAGAUAAUGUGAUAAGCCUUAGUUUGUAAGAUGGAGCCAAAAUCAUAUGAUUAUGAAGAAAGAAAAGCAGUCAAUCUCACAUUGAUUUGUGAUUUUGGAUGAAGUGAUUAAAUCAUAGUAUAUUUCCUAUGAACUAGAGUGAGCAUCAUGACUUUGACCUCUUUAAGAAAGCGCAAUGCAAUAGGUCUUAGUUUGUAAGAUGGAGCCAAAACCAUGUGAUUGUGAAGGUAAAAAAGUAGUCAAUCUCACGUUGAUAUGUGAUUGUAGACAAAGUGAUUAAAUCUUAGGUAUAUUUCCUGCAAACUAGAGAGAGGAUCAUGACUUUUAAAUCUCUUUAAGAAAGUGCAAUGUGGUAAAUCUUAGUUUGUAAGAUGAUUGUGAAGAAAGAAAAACAAGCAAUCUCGCAUUGAUUUGUGAUUCUGGACAAAGUGAUUAAAUCAUACGUAUAUUUCUUUGUGAAUUAGAGUGAGGGUUGUUACUACUGACCUUUUUAAGAAAGAGUAAUGUGAUAUUGGAAAUCAAAACAAGCAGCUUUUAUCCAGGGUUUAAUUUCUUUGUUUGAAUUUUCUUAAAAAGUAUUUUUCUAAAAUGACUUUUUUUCUUUACUUAAAUAAAAAAUGGCUUUCUCUUAAUUUCUUUAGCUUUGAAUAGAGGCCCAUGAGAGAGAGCCAAUUGGGUUUGCUCAAUAUAAAGCCCAAAGCAAUGGUGGAUUUAAGGACCAUUUGUUCUCUCUCUCUCUCUCUCUCUCUCUCUCUCUCUCUCCCUCUUAUGUAUUGCAAAUCUUAAAAUUUAUCACAAAAAUGUAAUUGAAUCCUAAAAUUUAAAUAUAUAUAUAUAUAUAUAUAUAUAUAUAAUUGAAUCUGAAAACUUAUUUUAUAAGUGUAAUUGAGUUCUAAAAUUUUCAAAAAGUACAAUCAAAUCCUUAAAAUUAUCAAUUUGGUGAAAUCAAGUUAUUAUGUAAACUUUGUUCAACUUGAUAAAUGCAAUAUGCUAAUAAUUUUUGGGACUUAUUACAUCAACUUAAGUUUUAAAACUCAAUUAUACUUAUAAAAUAAGUUUUCAAAUUCAAUUGUAUUUUUUUUUUAAUUUUAUUACCUAAUUGCAUUUUUGUAAUAAGUUUUUUAGGACUUCCGAUGCACUUAUCUUUUUUUUUUUUACUUCUUUUUUUUUAUUUUUCUAUAUAUAUAUAUAUAUAUAUAUAUAUAUAUAUUUCAUGAAAAAUGUUUUCCAAGAAAAAACUUUUAAAAUUUUUCGUGAAAAUUAAUUUCCUCACUUUUUAAGACAAAGCCUUAGCUCUCAAGCCAAAAAGUCUCUGCAAUUCAUUUCACUUAGAUACCAACCCAACCAACACAAACAAGAUUCUCACACGGCGCAAAAUAGUUCUCCGUCGUCCUCGAUGAAAGAUCUGCUCCAUCCAAUCUCAAACCGCAUGAGUUCUCUCUGCAGAGUACGCUCACAAUCCCUAAAAACUCGCGAACGAACAUGGCGUGGCAAAGCAAUUGUUUCCACAUCAUCUACUCUCUCCUUAGGGUUUAAUGGUUAUUUAUUUGUAUGAUGUGAAUUUCUCUCUGUUUUUGCUACUUUUGUAUUGUGAAUACUUAAAAUGGCUUUGGUCAUAUAUGUGUUGGCUAGUAAUUAAUGAUGAAAUUUUGUGGUGGCCAAAAAUGCAAACUAAAAUGUGUGUCUGAUGUUCUUAAUAUGAAUGGCAAAUGUAUGGUUCUCACGUACGAGAGCUCUAUUGUUCAAUUUGUGUAUGGUUGGUAUAAGAAUACAUUAUAUUAUAUGUAUUGUGUUGAGGAGUACUCAGUUUAGUUUGGAGUUUUGUUAAGUUUUGGUUUACCAUGUUUAAGUAUACAGGAAAAAUAAUGGAAUGACCAACUUACCAAGUAACUAAUUACAUUUUCUAGUUUAUUUUCAAGUUUCAAUCAAAUACUGAAAAAAAAAAAUUACCUUUUUUUCUUAGGAAAUGACUUUUUAGAAAAUACUUUCCCGAAAUGUCACAUUUUUUUUCGUGAAAAAAAUGGAAUCUAAAACUCUAUUUCUACUCUUCUAAAUGAUUAAUUAUUUCGAUUAUAAUUUAGUUAUUAUCUUUUUAUUUAAAAUUUUACAUCAGUUCAAGUUUUCCCAAUUGAUUUUUAUUUUCAACUCAAGUGGGAUUAUUCAUUGUGUUAUCGUACACCAAAAUAUCACAAUGUGAGUGAUAGAAGAAUCAUGUUUCGUCUAGUUUAUUAUGGCCACGGAAUCUAAAUCUCGUUUAUUGGAAAAAAAAUAAAAAUAUAUGGCAUCAGAAUCUUACCCACUAGAGACAAAAAAACAAAAAACAAAAGGAAAAAGGAAAAUGUGUUGCCUUCACGUCAUUUUCUCAAGUUGCGACUUGUUCGAUGAGCUAACAACUACGCCAUCGUAAUUGCUGUAGUGUCUUGAUCAAUCAAUUUCUUUUUCCUUUUUUUUUAUCAUUAUUGGAGGAUCAUUAUUAGUAGGGGUGUGCAACGGAAACCGUCCGAAUCGGGACUAGACCGGACUGGACCGGACCGGCCGAUUUUGGGCGGUUCCCACCGUCGGCAGUCCGGUUCCCGGUUCCAAGGUGGGAACCAGACCAACCAGACCGACUGAACCGAACCAAAUUUUUUUAUAUAUAAUUUAUAUAAAUAUAAUAUAUAAACACAUAUAAUAUAUGAAUAUUAUAUAUAAAACUUGUUGCAAUCGGAAUUGCAAUUGAGGUAACAACCUCUUGUGUGACCAAGAGAUCACCAAAGCUCUUAGAAAACUUAUUUGUUAGUUUUAUCUUAUACUCGAUGUGAGAUAAGACUCUAGGAGUUCCUCAUGCUCACUCUCUCUCUUGCUCCCCUCACUUGCAAACGAUAAGACACUUCAAGUCUCAAAGAGUCCGGCAUCGACUAAACAUUCAAAACAUAGAAGAGAGAUUAUCUAUAAAACCUAAGCCAAGCACAGAUUUUACUCAAAUUGUUCAUGCAUUUUAUGCUUAAAAUUAAGAGUGAAACACAUAAAUUAUGAUUAAUAUUCACGCAAGUGAAGUUUGAAUAUUUUGCACGUGAAAACAUGUGUGAGUAGUUUUAUUAGAUUGCCUGGGAACCGAAUUGGAUUGAUCGGUCCGGAACAUGGUUGUUCUUUAAUGAAUUGUUGUUAUUUAGUGAAAAAAGAAAGUGCCGAUCAUAUUGGACUGAACCGAACCGGAUCGAACCGGAACCAAUGGUCCGGUCCACAGUUCCCAAAAUUGGGAACCGGUUUUCCCGAUCCAGUUCCCAGUUCUAAGGUGGAACUGGACCGAACCGGAAACCGAUCACCCCUAAUUAUUAGAGGGUCAAGCAGCUUCGCGUACCUCAACAAGAAAAUACCUUUCAACUAGGGGGGGUUGAAUUUUAAUAAUUGACUCAAAGUGGGACCAAUUUGGAGAGUUAUUUAAGGACUUCCUAUUUUUAACUUUUAAUUUUGAUUUUAUUUCUUGCUUGUUGUUCCACGUAAAAGAAAGUUAGUCCAAAAAUCAGAGUUGGUAGAGACUUUCUUCUAGCUAAACAUUACUUUGAAAAUUCUUGUCAUUUUUUUAAUAUAACAGAAGAAAAUGCGCAAUCUUAUCUUUCCGGAUUCUCUAGAAGACCUAAUCUCUAAGAGAGUAGCACCCAUAAAAGUCUAAGCUUUACAAAAAAAAAAAAAUGGUGUCCUAUUCUCUAAACUGUUCUAAUUUCCAUCGAAUUGAUUUUGGUUUUUGAUCGUCAUUUUAAAGACUAACCGAUGUGAUCGAUCCUGCUUAGAGCGUGCUCCCAAUCGUUCACAAGAGAAAAAAGUUUACGAGCACUUAUACCGUCGAUGUAGAGAAAGAACUAGAGGGUUUUCGUAAAUCACCUUUCACUACUAAAAAUUAUUCUCGAAAAUCCUAACUCACAUGGAAAAUGCUCAAUCGAGCAAUUUAAAAAAAAAAAAAAAAAAGGAAACAAAUCCACGUCCAUAGACGUGUAUCAUGACGUCAUGGCACUGGAAUAAUCGCAGACGGUACGUUUUGUUCUUUUACUUUUGCUCUGGGCACGAGUUGAAUUUUCCAGCGAACGUCAGGUGGAUCAAUUAUUCAUACGAUGGUCCACGUGGCCCGCCUUCCAUUGGUUGGAGCGUUGGAACGUCAUUGAGCACGCAGGCGAAAGAGUUAAAAUCUUAAAUGUCAUUAUCCUUUCGCCUUUCCUUUCGCCAACUUCAUUAGACUAUUUCAGCCGUCGUUCUCUGUGCUCUGUUCUUCUCCUCGAUUCCCUCUCUCUCUCUCUCUCUCUCUGUGAAAAUAUUCUCGGUUGGAGAUACAGAGAGAGGGAGAGGGUUUUGGUGACGAGAGCAUGAUGGCCAGACCAGAGGGCUCGAUCUUUAAGCUGUGCUUCCUGUGUUCCUUGAUCGCGAAUCUCUUCUUCGGGGUGAAUCUCUACCUGGGUCGCCGUGGCGUGGGGGGGUGGAAGUGGAGCAGCGACGAGGUGAACGUCCAAGGCCUGAGCUGGAGCNNNNNNNNNNNNNNNNNNNNNNNNNNNNNNNNNNNNNNNNNNNNNNNNNNNNNNNNNNNNNNNNNNNNNNNNNNNNNNNNNNNNNNNNNNNNNNNNNNNNGGAGGGCGGCGGCGGAGGCCGAGUCGGCGGCGGCGCGGGAGUGCUCGGGCCCACGGGAGGGCGUUCCUCGACGGGGCGGUCGCCGACGGGAGGCCGGCCUGCGAAUGCAACACGUGCUACGGCGGUCCGGACUGCUCCCUCUUCUUGCCCUCUUGCUCUGCCAAUGCCGACGGGUUAGUUUCGACUUUCUACGUCUCGAUCAAUUUUUCUUUUUCUUUUUUUGGUAAGGUAAGAAUCUACGUCUCGAUCAUUCAUUCCCCAACAAACGAGAAAAUAUUCAGUGGUUUUCUAAAGCGCCACGUCAACAGCUGACGUGGCGUGCGUUAAUGUGCUAUUGGCCAAUUAAAAACUGAAACGUGUCAGCAAACGAUAAAUUAAAAAUCCCUUAAUCCACCUGGAUUUCUCUUUUCCUCCUCUUCCAUCUGCACGCACAAGCCCGACCGCCGCCCCUCCUUCCGCCAUCGCCACCGGCGGAGUGGGAGUUGCCGGCGCCGUGUGAAACCAGUUUGGCCGUCUCCUCCGCCUGUGCCUCAGUUCCAAAUCCGGCGGGAUGACGGAGAGGGUGGACGCGGAGGUUCUCUCCAGAUUUGGUUUGCUGCAACGCUCCUCUGCACCUCCGGGUCUGGUUCGCUGCUCCAGAUCUUGGCUCGUCCCAUGGCUGCCGGCGAAGAGCUCAACAACUUUGCGACAGACCGAGAAGCCGUCCAUGGCCGACCGCUCCUCUGCAUCUCCAGAUCUGGUUUCCUGCUCAACAGCUUUGAGCUCGAGUCUUGGCUCGUCCAUGGCUGCCGGCGACGAGCUCAACAGCUUUAACGCAGACUGUGGCGGCCACGGUGGGGCGGUGGUUCAGGGACGGCGGCGACGUUGGCGGCGGGGCGGCUUGGGCGAUGGAGGUGGCCGAGCCUAGGCGGAGCCGAGGUCGAAGAUGGAGGGGAAAAGAGAACAAAAUUAAUUUUUUAAAUUUCCCUUUCAACAUCCACGUGUCAAAAUCUAAUUGAGUAUCAAUAAAUAAGUGCACACCACGUCAGCCGGUGACGUGGCUUUUGCAAACCACUGAAUAUUUUCUCGAAUAUGCGCAGAAUUCACUGAAUUGUACUGUAAUAAGGAUAGCUGAUGGUCUCAUCCCGAAUUGGAUUCGAAAUGAAAGAUUUCAAUGAGGUUUCACUGAAUCAGUAUUCCCAAUGGCCCUUUGAGACAUUCUCUGUCAUUUGUGAGAUGCCAAUGUGAUGGAUGAGGACUUCAUUGAUUCUUGUUUUUUUCUGUUCUGGGAGAAUACAAUUUCGGCACCGAAACUCCACAAUUUUCUCCGUUUGUGGGGUACAAGAUUGGUGUCCUAUAUCCUAUUAUAAUAGGGGUGCUUCUUUAAGGAUGCACACAUGGUACGAACAUGUAACUUUUGAUUAACAUGUCUUCCACAGAUAGAAUUUAGAUGCCUACAUGUAACUUUUCCUCUCAGUUUAUCAUUCCAGUUGUGAACAUUGACAUGUUCACCUAUGGGAUCCCCAUCUUCAAUACAAUAAACAAGUUAUAUGCCUUGAGCGCGAUUCUUUGUUAUUUUACAUUUUGUGAAAAUUCAUGGAUCAGCGGUUUACCAGCACAUGUCCCUUAUGGUCGGAACCAUUCUCCACUCGGCACCGUAUGGGCUUUAUGUUCAGGCUUUAAUGGUCGUCAGCUAUCACACUUCGGGUAUGCGAGAGUUACUCGUAAAUUAAACCACCUCGUGUUGGUAACAGUUUAAGGUGGAGCGGCAUUUUCCACUCUUUCGAAAUCUCCUUAAUUCACAGUCCUUUAAUUUUAUUUUAUCGUUUGGUUGCAGGGGAGAUCCAUUGUUCUUGGAGCCAUUCUGGAAGCAGCAUGCAGAGAGCAGUGCAGUAGUGGUGGCGGGUUGGCACAGGAUGAGCUACUCCUUCAGUGACCAGACCACCUUGUCCCAAGAACUUGAGUCUCUCCUCAGGAAGCUGCACUCCCAGGUUGGGAAUGCCAUCACAGACGACAAAUACAUUUUGUUUGGUGCUGGCUCUACCCAACUCCUCAAUGCUGCUGUCCAUGCUCUCUCUCAUCUCAACUCUUC
rnacentral:lncRNA from 1 species